UUUUCACUAUUACUUAUUUUGUUAUCGCUUACAUGUUGAAAUACAUGUCAUCAAUACCUAGGCUGUGGACAUUGGUGAUCAACCUUUGGCUAGGACUAUCAACUGGAAAAAGGUUUUUGAUGUUGGACUUUCCGAAAUUCAAAGGCUUGUACUUUGGCUUCAAUUCUGACCUUUUCUUUAAGAAAGUGUUUUGGAUGAAACCGAAGAAGGAAACUUUUUUGCACAUUGCCUUUUCUGUGGUUAAAUUACAAAAAAAGGAUAGCGUUUUACAGUAAGUUUACCACAUAGAUGAAUGGAUUAGAAUUAAGCACUUCUUAGGUUGAGCAUCAUGCAUAGCAUUUAUAGAGCUGUCCCUCUAUUGAGCUGCAGCUCUAUAGAGAGACUAAAGACAGUAUGUUUACUUGUACAGACACUUCCUUUCUAUAAGACUGUGUCUGUCACAAUGAAUAUUGUUCUGGAUUAUAGUAUUCGUUGUUAUCCAGAACAUGUUCAUCCAUAUACCCUAUAUCACCUAUAGAUUUACAAAUGAAUCCUUUCCAAAGGCGGUGAAUUUUUGAAGAGCUCAGUGCCAUUCUGAAAUCAUUUUGAUACCUUGAGCACGCUUUAGGUCAAGAUUUAUAAAGUAGAACGUUAAUAUGACUGUAAAAAAAUUAUAUCUUUUUAUACAAUCUGUUGUCUGUAUUGAAUUGCACUAGCUGAACCAUGCUUUCUGGACUUUUACAAGUUUCAGUAUCCAACACAUUCAAAAGGAUAUAACAAUGAUCUGACAAAUGUCAUAUGGCAAUAAAGGUGAUUGCAUGUCAAUUAUUAAUGGACUCAUCCACCUGGUUCACCAAGUAACAACACCUGGUAACACCUUGUCAGGGAGGGUAUUGUAUACAAUACAUAGUGUAUGUGCCAACUAUCCUAUCAUGAAAUAGUUGAAUAAACAGCAAUGGCCGAACGCGAAUGCUUGGCUGAAUCAAUGAACAUAUACGUCCCGAAAGACAUCUACUGGCAUGUCCUUUUCCACUCAUGGCGGUCACCAGAGAGGUUUACCAUAGUCCUCGUCUCGGUCUUUAAACUGGAAGAUGUUUCCAUUCACAAUACAGCAGUCAGACCAUAAAGAACAAAAGGCACACGUUUUACUGUCCUGAAUGACACGGUGUGAGGGGAGGGGGGGGUGUCAGUGACACGUCCACUAGGACGCUUUGAAAUAACUGAAGACUGAAACACUUCUCUGUGCAGUUCAAUGUACAGUUCAAUGUAGAGCUCACACGCCUUUAAUUUGGAUAAGGAACCACAGAUAAACAGAAGCAAUGGCUAUGUAUUGAUAGGCAGCUUCCCGAAAAGGAUUUGAAGGAAGUACACACACAUACACAUGGCUUAACAGACACACACACACACACACACACACGUGCGUGCAUGCACGGAUGCACGCAUGCACUGACACAGACACACACAACUACACACACACACACCAACACACACACACACAUACACACACACACACACACACACACACACACACACACACACACACACACACACACACUAUUUAUUUCACGCUCUCUGUUCCACAUCAUCAUUUUAUAAUUUUCUGUAAAUUCAAUUUACAUUCAAAUCAGGUUAACCUAAUCAAAAUAUUGACCAGCCAUAGCCAUAGGUACCGAGGCAUUUUUGGGACCUUUAGAAAUUACCCAAAAUCCAACAACCUAUGUCUUAUCCUAUCAGAAAAAAUAUGCCUUAUGUGAGGUCAAUUAGCAGCCUCUGGUGGCUUCGGCUGUAGCUACAGUAUAGGCUAUAAACAUCUCAUAUUAGUCGCUGGCGCCUGUAACAGGAGGGAGUGGUGCUCAAGAUAUUUCAGAUGUUCAAAUAAUGUUUAUUUGGAGUAGCUGCAGUAGAAAGUUACGUAGUGCAGGUGUAAGGAUUGUUUAUUUGGAUGCGUUUUUGGUUUUGAUGCUGAUGAUGAUGAUGUUUUCAAUAGGUCACACCUACAGAACAAGGCAUUAGUGAUCCUGCUUUAAGGAGGCAGAUUGUUCUAAAAAGGUUACAGUGCACUCAAUGGUGGCAAAACAAACAACCACAAAGAACUGAAACAAAAAAAAACUAAAUUUACUUGGCCGAUUCAACUGAAAAGCUCUUGACAAACGUGAGGCAUGAAAAUAA